GGCAUAGCGCAGUUUGGUAGCGCACCUGAUUUGGGAUCAGGGGGUCGCAGGUUCAAAUCCUGCUGC
rnacentral:tRNA from 4 species